rnacentral:lncRNA from 1 species
UUUUAAGAGGUCUCUCUGAGCCUUGAUAUCCCCCAACCUGGAGGUGGUCAUUUUUCACCAUUUCAUGUCCUUGCUUUGCUGUUUAUCAUCUCUCAUUCAUAAACAUCCAUUGAUCCUGUACACGCUGGACAUAAUCCAAGACAUGAUCCUCGUUGCCAAGUUAGACUGCAUUUUGGGGCGCCUGGGUGGUUCAGUCAGUUAGGCAUCUGCCUUUGGCUCAGGUCGUGAUCCUGGAGUUCUGGGAUCGAGCCACGCAUUGGGCCCCUUGCUCAGCGGGGAGUGUGCUUCUCCCUUGGCCCCUCCCCCCCUCUCUCGCCCUCUCUCUCAAAUAAAUAAAUAAAAUCUUUUAAAAAGUUAGACUACAUUUUACCCACCUCUGACCCCCAAGAUCUAGAUCUGUUACACAUUGUCCAAGCUCUUACAAAAUGUCUAAUGAAAUAAAGAAAGACUACUGAACAACUAGGUAAUAUAAUGUAGAAUCAUGUGUGUAGAAGUUUUAUUAUCUUGGAAAAAAAUUAUUGGCCUUAAAUAUUUGCUUUCCUGCAUUAAAACAGUACAUUUAAUGCACAAUGUUCAUUGCUCCAAACUUGCCAAAACCAAAAACGAUCCUUAUCCUUAGCCAUGAGUGACCCUCUGAGCAAUCAGUGUUUUGCAAAGCAUGGUCUGCCAAUCAUCUGUAUGAGAAGCAUCUGGAAACUGAUUUAGGAAUAAGGAUAUUUAGUCUGAAAUCCUUAGGUAAUGAAUAACUGUUUUAACCAAGGGCAGGCUGUGAGUGAAAUUGAGCCACAGGUCAAAAGGGUGCUGAGAGAGAGGCCCUGAUGCGGAUGGGGGCAGUGAAGACUACGGGCCCUGCCCCACCUCAGAAAGAAUGCUCAGGACCGGAGGCACAGAAGGGUGGGCAAGGUACAGCCUCCCUGGAGAAAACAACUGAAAUUUCCAGUCGGGGAGGCCCUAGGGAGGAACACCUCCACCAAGGGCGGGUUUUAACACGGAAAGAACAGCUUCGGCACACGAGCAGCCUGAGGGAACCUGCGAUACAUGUGCCUACGGCCACCUCACGGCGGAAUCCUGGUGUUGGCGCCUGCGUGACAGACCCUGGGCGUUCAGCUGUCAUCAAAACGUGGAAGCUGUUUCUGAAGGCAGUUCUAGAGCGCAGCAAGGAAAAGGCAAAGUCAAGGCUUUCACGGACAUCUCCGAGCCCCAGUGACACACCUUGGCACCAAGUCCUGAACACGUCCCAACUCCCCGUUUGUUGCCAGAUGCUCCGCAGGCCAAACUCCCGCAGGUUUCAAGAAUUUGGGAAGGGAGGGGCUACUAAAUGUAUCUCUGUGGGGGCUCCUGGGUGGCUCAGUCAGUUAAGCACUUCCUUUGGCUCAGGUCAUGACCUCAGGGUUCUGGGAUCGAGUCCCACAUCGGGCUCCCUGCUCAGCAGAGAGUCUGCUCCUCGCUCUCCCUCUGCCCCGAUCCCCACCGGCUCCCUCCCUGCCGCUCAUGCUUGCUCUCUCACUCUCUCAAAUAAAUAAAUAAAAUCUUUUUUUUUUUUAAAGUCUCUUUGUCUUCAACAGGGUAUUUCACCUUGGAAGCAGCCGACAUCUACUUAAACAAGAAAAAAAAUCAUCACAAAGAUAUAGGAUGGCUCAAAAGAAAUGGCCACCAAGCCCUGAGAAGACAAGGAGGGACCUUAACUGCUACCACUGAGUGAAAGGAACCAAUCUGAAGAGGACACGGACCACAGGAUUCCAACCGUGUAACCUCUGGAGAAGGCAAAACCGGAGACAGUGAGAAGACUGGUGGUUGGCGGGAGAGAUGAGCGCAUGGGGCACAGAUCUGGGGGGACGUGAGGCUCUUCUGCACGAUAUCCUAAUGGUGGCACCUGUCAGUGUACACUUGCCAGAGUCUAUUGGGUGUUCGUCGCCAAGGGUGAGCUCUGGGCUGUGAGGAUGCGUCCGAGUCAGUUCUGCGUUUUCCCCUCCCUCCCCCAGCCCGGGCACCCGUCCUAGCAAACCCCUCAAUGCCAGUCUCCAGCUUAGAUUCUGGAGAAAGCGCCGAUAUUUCCCGGUCACAGCUGUUGCCAAUAUCCUGAAAUAGUGUACCUGCUCGUCCCUAUUUCGAUGUUACAGUCAUUAUUAGCCUGCCGGGUCUUGUUACCCAGUACAUGACUAUAAAUAUAUAUUACUAUGUUAAAACCCGCUUUUAAUAUUCUCCUACCUGUAUUUCAGUAUCACUGGGGCUUUUUGGCAUCUCAUAGAUUUUAUUUCAUGGGUGCAGAGGAUGGCAAAAUGGGUCACCCCAGAAUAUGCCGCUUCGAUAUAAGGAUGAUUUUGAGCUAAAGGCUCUUGAGAAACGGCAGGUGCAAGAAGUCUCUGGCUUCCCCUCCU